rnacentral:rRNA from 1 species
UACGGGGGGGGCAAGCGUUGUUCGGAAUUACUGGGCGUAAAGGGCGCGUAGGCGGUCCGCUAAGUUAGAUGUGAAAACUCUGGGCUCAACCCAGAGCCUGCAUCUAAUACUGGCGGGCUAGAGUUCUGGAGGGGGUAGCGGAAUUCCUGGUGUAGCGGUGAAAUGCGUAGAUAUCAGGAGGAACACCGGUGGCGAAGGCGGCUACCUGGACAGAAACUGACGCUGAGGCGCGAAAGCUAGGGGAGCAAACAGG